rnacentral:rRNA from 1 species
CGGGAAGAGCUCAAAUUUGAAAUCUGGUGGCCUCAGGUCAUCCGAGUUGUAAUCUAUAGAAGUGUUUUCCGUGCUGGCCCAUGUACAAGUCCCUUGGAACAGGGCGUCAUAGAGGGUGAGAAUCCCGUCCUUGACAUGGACUACCAGUGCUCUGUGAUACACUUUCAAC